GUAUAAAUUAAAACAUAUAUAAAUAUAUUUCAAUUAACUAAAAACAUUAAUAAAUUUAGUAAUGGUGAAAGAAAAUUAUUUUAAACAUGAAAAGUACUGAGAAGGAACUUUUUGAGCUAAUUAAUAAAAAGAAUAAGUUUCUGUACCUUUUGCAUCAUGGUUUAGCUAGAUUUAAUUUUUUUAAGAAAAUUCUCGAAAUCUAAUGGGCUAUUUUUAACCGACAUUAUUAGAUGUAUUAAAACUAAUUGUAGCAAAAAUUUUUUUAGAGUUAAAAAUAGAAAUGAAAUUUUAUCCGUAUUAGAUGAUAGCUAGUUCUUUUCUAAAAGUAUAGAAGUACUGCAAAUUUCUAAUGUUAUUGAAUGAAUAUCUAAAACAUAUAUAGAAGUUUAGUUAGGUUUUUGAGGAUAAGCUCAAAAACAUAAUAAUUUGUAUCUUAAUGUAAAUAGUUAAAUUUAGGCUUGAAAAUGGCCAUAAUGCAUGAUUUUGUUAUAAUUUCAUUACUUUUAUUUACAUAGAAUUGAUUUACUUUACUUCAGAAGAGAAAAUUUUUAAAUAUAAAUUAAAAUUAAACGCAUGCUAAAAUGAGUAUUUAUUAAAGUAUAUUCUUUAUUAUAAUAAAAUUAUAAACUUAAUAGAAUAUUUUUAUUAAAAAUUGAUAAAAGGAACUCGGCAAAACUUGAUUCCGCCUGUUUAUCAAAAACAUGGCUCCUUGCUGUUAAUGAAUAGGGAGUCGGACCUGCUCGGUGAAUAUAUUUUAACAGCCGCGGUACUCUGACCGUGCAAAGGUAGCAUAAUCAUUUGCCUUAUAAUUGAAGGCUAGUAUGAAUGGUUUGACGAGAAUUAAGCUGUCUCUUUUCAACUAAUUAUAACUUUAUUAACAGGUGAAGAAGCCUGUGUUUUAUUGAAAGACAAGAAGACCCUAUCGAGCUUUAAGAAAUUUAAUAGGCUUAUCAUAUAUUUAUACAGAUGUAAGGCUAUUAAGAACUUUGGUUGGGGCGACUGAGGAACAUAAAAAGCUUCCUUUACAAUUUAAGAACUUACAAGUAUUGAUCCAAUAAAUUUGAUUAAAGGAAUUAGUUACCGUAGGGAUAACAGCAUAAUCUUCUUUGAGAGUUCUUAUCGAAAAGAGGGUUUGUGACCUCGAUGUUGGACCAGAAUACCCAGAAGAUGCAGCCGUCUUCAAUGGUUGGUCUGUUCGACCAUUAAAAUUCUACGUGAUCUGAGUUCAGACCGGCGUGAGCCAGGUCAGUUUCUAUCUUCAAUUUUUAUAAUGGCCUUAGUACGAAAGGACCAGGCUAUUGCAAUAUAAUUUGUUAUUUUGCGAUUUAAUAUAAAAAAUAAUUCAUUUUAUGAUUAGU
rnacentral:rRNA from 1 species